ACUGCAGUCGAGCGAACAGACGAGGAGCUUGCUCCUCUGACGUUAGCGGCGGACGGGUGAGUAACACGUGGAUAACCUACCUAUAAGACUGGGAUAACUUCGGGAAACCGGAGCUAAUACCGGAUAAUAUAUUGAACCGCAUGGUUCAAUAGUGAAAGACGGUUUUGCUGUCACUUAUAGAUGGAUCCGCGCCGCAUUAGCUAGUUGGUAAGGUAACGGCUUACCAAGGCAACGAUGCGUAGCCGACCUGAGAGGGUGAUCGGCCACACUGGAACUGAGACACGGUCCAGACUCCUACGGGAGGCAGCAGUAGGGAAUCUUCCGCAAUGGGCGAAAGCCUGACGGAGCAACGCCGCGUGAGUGAUGAAGGUCUUCGGAUCGUAAAACUCUGUUAUUAGGGAAGAACAAAUGUGUAAGUAACUAUGCACGUCUUGACGGUACCUAAUCAGAAAGCCACGGCUAACUACGUGCCAGCAGCCGCGGUAAUACGUAGGUGGCAAGCGUUAUCCGGAAUUAUUGGGCGUAAAGCGCGCGUAGGCGGUUUUUUAAGUCUGAUGUGAAAGCCCACGGCUCAACCGUGGAGGGUCAUUGGAAACUGGAAAACUUGAGUGCAGAAGAGGAAAGUGGAAUUCCAUGUGUAGCGGUGAAAUGCGCAGAGAUAUGGAGGAACACCAGUGGCGAAGGCGACUUUCUGGUCUGUAACUGACGCUGAUGUGCGAAAGCGUGGGGAUCAAACAGGAUUAGAUACCCUGGUAGUCCACGCCGUAAACGAUGAGUGCUAAGUGUUAGGGGGUUUCCGCCCCUUAGUGCUGCAGCUAACGCAUUAAGCACUCCGCCUGGGGAGUACGACCGCAAGGUUGAAACUCAAAGGAAUUGACGGGGGACCCGCACAAGCGGUGGAGCAUGUGGUUUAAUUCGAAGCAACGCGAAGAACCUUACCAAAUCUUGACAUCCUCUGACCCCUCUAGAGAAAGAGUUUUCCCCUUCCGGGGGACAGAGUGACAGGUGGUGCAUGGUUGUCGUCAGCUCGUGUCUUGAAA
rnacentral:rRNA from 1 species